UUUCUUCGUUUCACUACACUCAACCAAACUCAACUCCAAUCUCACCCAAACCCUCUUCUGAACAACAGCGUCAGACUCAGAGGCUAAUGCUGGUGAAGCAAGCCCUAUCACUAGGGUUCACUCUGCUUGUUUCCUCUUUCGCUCACUCGCUGUCUCCCCAGGUUCCUUGUUCCUAGUUGGAGAAAAGAAUGAAGAAUGAAAAUACAAUAUGCAAAAUGAAGAAUGAAAGGCCGUUUGCCUCGUCUUAAUGGGUGUCAUUGAUUUUUACCAAUCUAGGCAUGGCACCGAGACCCACUUGUUUGAUUGUGGCCAUGGCCUCCACCAUUCCUGUUGAACAAGUCAAUAACGGUCCUCUGAAUGUGACAGGUGAUUCCUUCAUCAGCCCAUUUUGCCUUUUGAGGUUGGUCUCAUUUAACUCGACUUCUUUUCAUUCUGAUGAAUAUACAACAAUGCUUGUUUUUCCUGAAAUAUGAUGGGUAAUGUUACAUUAUGGUUAAAGUUUUGGUCAAUGUUUGUCUUAUGCUUAGUUUUCAAUUUCUACUGUUAGGUCUUAAAAUAUGCUGGUUUCUUUGUUUAUUUUAGAGUAGAAAAUACAGAUUUAUUUCCUCAGAUAUCUAAGUGGUUACUUCGGCGAGGAAAAUUGGACCAAUGCAAUGUAAUUUAGUAGUAUCAAAAGAUGAGGCUUUCUGCUGCAGGUCUUACAAAACAGAAACAUUACACAAACUAACAAUAACCCAUGUAUGACUAUAUUACUAACAUGCCCCCUUAAACUGAGUGAGUGUAGUUGAGACAUGAAACUGCUCCAUGUUUGUCUCUUAGCUCUAGGAUAGAGAUGAGCAGUAAGUGGAGAAGAGGAAUCACUCAUAGGUGUGUAAUAGUUGAAUAAGAAGAAGAAGUUUUUGAAGGAGGUGAAGUAGUGACUAGUGAAUGACUUAAAUUAGGACUCAUGUAAGUGAAUAUCCAUAGAGAGGAAGAAGAAGGAGGCGAUGAUUUAAAUAAACCUUAUGUAUUGAACGGGCAGUACAUGGAUUUGUACUAGCAGGAGAAGAGAAAUAACUCCAAGUUGAGUAAUGGUUGGAUAAAAAAAAGGGAUGUUUGAAGGAGAUGAAGUGGUGAAAGGAGGAAAUUUGGAAUCAUGAAAUCUAACAUCUCUAGAGGAGAAGGAAGUGAACCAUGGGAAAAAGUUGGAGAUGGUAAGGAUUCAAGUGAAACAUUAAGACUUGAAGGAGUAGUAUAAGGAUGAGCUGUAGGAGGAGAAAAGGAAUAACUUCAAGGUGAAUAUUAGUUGGAUAGAAGAUAUUAAUUUUGAAGGAGGUGAAGUGGAGAUAGAAGAAAUUUAGGACUAAUGAAAUUAAGCAUCUUUAAAAUUUGGGAAAGUGGAAUAAGAUGGAUUACAAGGAGAGGAAGAAGAUGAGAGAGAAGAUGGUGAGGUGAAUGAGGAGAAGGAAGUUAAAAAUGGGAAAGAGUAGGAGAUGGUGAGGAUUCAAAUGAACAAUAAUGUAUUGAAGGAGCAGUACAUGGAUAAGUACUAGCAGGAUAAGAGAAAUAACUCCAAGGUGAGUAAUAGUUGGAUAAGAAAAAGAGAUGUUUGAAUGAGGUGAAGUGGUGAAAGAAGGAAAUUUGGACUCUUUGAAUUGAACUUCUCUACAAAUUUAGGAAGUGGUAGACGAGAUGGAUUAGAUGGGGAUGGAGAAAUAGAAAGAGAAGCUGGUGAACGUAAAUGAAGAGAAGGAAGUGAAACUUGGGAAAAAGUUAGAGAUGGUGUGGAUUCAAGUGAACUAUUAUGAAUUGAAGGAGCAGUUAAAAGAUGAGCAGUAGGAGGGUUAGAGGAAUAUCAUGAAAGUGAAAAAUAAUUGGUAAAGUAGUUAUUUUUUAAGGACGUGAAGUGGAGAAAGUAGUUAAUUUGGAUUGCUGAAGAGGAAUAUCUAUCGAGAAUUUGAAAAUGGAAUAAGAUGGAUUAGUUAAGGAGGAAGAAGAAAGAGAAGUCGGUGAAGGUGAAUGAGGAGAUGAAAGUUAAACAUAGGAUACAGUAGGUGAUUGUGAAGAUUCAAGUGAAACAUUAAGAAUUGAAGGAACAGUAUAAGGAUGUGCUGUGAAGGAGGAGAAAAGGAACAACCUCAAGGCGAAUAUUAGUUGGAUAGAAGAAAUUAAUUUUGAAGGAGGUGAAGUGGAGAUAGAAGAAAUUUUGGACCAAUGAAAUUGAACAUCUUUAAAUAUUUAAAAGGUGGAAUAAGAUGGAGUUAAUGGAAAGGAAGAAGAUGAAAGAGAAGUUGGUGAGGUGAAUGAGGAGAAAGAAGUGAAAGAUGGGAAAGAGUGGGCGAUGGUGAGGAUUCAAAUGAACCAUAAUGUAUUGUAGGAGCAGUACAUGGAUAAGUACUAGCAGGAGAAGAGAAAUAACUCGAAGGUGAGUAAUAGUUGGAUAAGAAAAAGAGAUGUUUGAAUGAGGUGAAGUCGUGAAAGAAGGAAAUUUGGACUCUUUGAAGUGAACUUCUCUACAAAUUUAGGAAGUGGUAGACGAGAUGGAUUAGAUGGGGAUGGAGAAAAAGAAAGAGAAGCUGGUGAACGUAAAUGAAGAGAAGGAAGUGAAACUUGGGAAAAAGUUAGAGAUAGCGUGGAUUCAAGUGAACCAUUAUGAAUUGUGGGAGCAGUAAAAAGAUGAACAGUGGAAGGGUUAGUGGAAUAUCUUGAAGGUGAAUAAUAAUUGGUAAAGAAGUUUGUUUUUUAAGGACGUGAAGUGGAGAAAGUAGUUAAUUUGGAUUUCUGAAAAAGAAUAUCUGUAGAGACUUUGAAAGUGGAUUAAGAUGGAUUAGUUAGGGAGGAAGAAGAAGAAAGAGAAGUUGGUGAAGGUGAAUGGGGAGAUGAAAGUGAAACAUAGGAAAUAGUAGGAGAUGGUGAGUAUUCAAUUGAAACAUUAAGAAUUGAAGGAGCAGUAUAAGGAUGAGCUGUAGGAGGAGAAAAGGAAUAACUUCAAGGUGAAUAUUAGUUGGAUGGAAGAUAUUAAUUUUGAAGGAGGUGAAGUGGAGAUAGAAGAAAUUUUGGAUUAAUGAAAUUAAGCAUCUUUAAAAUUUGGGAAAGUGGAAUAAUAUGGAUUACAUGGAAAGCAACAAGAUGAAAGAGAAGAUGGUGAGGUGAAUGAGGAGUUGGAAGUGAAACAUGGGAAAGAGUAGGAGAUGGUGAGGAUUCAAAUGAACCAUAAUGUAUUGAAGGAGCAGUACAUGGAUACGUAGUAGCAGGAAAAGAGAAAUAACUCCAAGGUGAGUAAUAGUUGGAUAAGAAAAAUGGAUGUUUGAAUGUGGUGAAGUGGUGAAAGAAGAAAAUGUGGACUCUUGGAAUUUAACUUCUCUAUAGAUUUAGAUAGUGGUAUAAGGGAUGAAAUAGAUGGGGAUGGAGAAGAAGAAAGAGAAGCUGGUAAAGAUGAAUGAAGAGAAGGAAGUGAAACAUGGGAAAAAGUUAGAGAUGGUGAGGAUUGAAGUGAACCAUUAAGAAUUGGGAGGGCAGUAAAAAGAUGAGCAGUAGGACGGUUAGAGGAAAAUAUUGAAAGUGAAUAUUAAUUGUUUAAGUAGUUAUUUUUUAAGGACGUGAAGUGGAGAAAGUAGUUAAUUUGGAUUGCUGAAGAAGAAUAUCUGUAGAGAAUUUGAAAGUGGAAUAAUAUGGAUUUGUUAGGGAGGAAGAAGUAGAAAAAGAAAUUGGUGAAGGUGAAUGAGGAGAUGAAAGUGAAACAUUGGAAGAAGUAGGAGAUUGUGAGGAUUUAAUUGAAACAUUUAAGAAUUGAAGGAGCAGUAUAGGGAUGAACUGUAAGAGGUGAAGAAGAAUAUUUUCAAGUUGAAUAUUAGUUGGAUAGUAGAUAUUAAUUUUGAAGGAGGUGAAGUGGAGAUAGAUGGAAUUUUAGACUAAUGAAAUUGAGCAACUUUAAAAUUGGGAAAGUGGAAUAAGAUGGAUUACUUGGAUAGGAAGAAGAUGAAAGAGAAGUUGGUGAGGUGAAUGAGAAGAAGUAAGUGAAACAUGGGAAAGAGUAGGAGAUGGUGAUGAUUCAAAUGAACCAUAAUGUAUAGAAGGAGCAGUACAUGGAUAAGUACUAGGAGGAGAAGAGAAAUAACUCCAAGGUGAGUAAUAGUUGGCUAAGUAAAAAGGAUGUUUGAAGGAGGUGAGGUGGUGUAAGACGAAAAUUUGGACUCGUGGAAUUUAACUUCUCUACAGAUUUAGAAAGUGGUUGAAGAGAUGGAUUAUUGGGAUGGAGAAAGAGAAAGAGAAGCCGGUGAAGGUGAAUGAAGAGAAAGAAGUGAAACAUGGGAAUGAGUAGGAGAUUGUGAGGAUUCAAAUCAACCAUAAUGUAUUGAAGGAGUAGUACAUGGAUAAGUAGAAAGUGGUGUUUGAAUGUGAUGAAGGGGGAAAGGAGGAAAACAUGAAGAAUUGAAGGUGCAGUAUAAGGAUGAGCUGUAGGAGGAGAAAAGGAAAAACUUCAAGGUGAAUUUUUGUUGGAUUGAAGAUAUUAAUUUUGAAGGAGGUGAAGUGGAGAUAGAAGAAAUUUUUGACUAAUGAAAUUGAGCAUUUUUAAAAUUUUGGAAUGUGGAAUAAGAUGGAUUACAUGUAGAUGAAGAAGAUGAAAGAGAAGUUGAAGACAUGAAUGAGGAGAAUGAAUUGAAAUAUGAGAAAGGAUUGAGAUGGUGAGGAUUCAAGUGAACCAUAAUGUAUUGAAGGAGCAGUACAUGGAUAAGUACAAGCAGGAGAAGAGAAAUAACUCCAAGGUGAGUAAUAGUUGGAUAAGAAAAAAGGAUGUUUGAAUGAUGUGAAGUGGUAAAAGAAGGAUAUUUGGACUCUAGGAAUUUAACUUCUCUUCAAAUUUAGAAAGUUGUAGACGAGAUGGAUUAGAUGGGGAUGGAGAAGAAGAAGGACAAUCUGGUGAAGGUGAUUGAAGAAAAGGAAGUGAAACUUGGGAAAAAGUUAGAGAUGGUGUGGAUUCAAGUGAACCAUUAUGAAUUGAGGGAGUGGUAAAAAGAUGAGCAACAGGAGGGUUAGAGUAAUAUCUUGAAGGUGAAUAAUAAUUGGUUAAGAAGUUAUUUUUAAGGACGUGAAGUGGAGAACAUAGUUUUUGGAUUUCUGAAAAAUAAUAUCUUUCGAGAAUUUGAUUGUGGAAUAUGAUGGAUUAGAUAGGGUGGAAGAUGAAGAGAGAGAAUUGGUGAAGGUGAAUGAGGAGAUGAAUGUGAAACAUGGGAAAUAGUAGGAGAUGGUAAGGAGAAAUUUUGGACUAAUGAAAUUGAGCAUCUUUUGAAUUUUAGAAAGUGGAAAAAGACAGAUUACAUGGAGAGGAAAAAGAAGAAAGAGAGGAGUUAGUGUGGUGAAUAUUGAGAAGGAAUUGAAAAUGGGAAGGAGUAGGAGAUGGUGAGAAUUCAACUGAACCAUUAUGUAUUGAACGUGAUAGAAGAAAUAGAGAAAUGGAAAAGAGAGAGAGAGAGAGAGAGAGAGAGAGAGAGAGAGAGAGAGAGAGAGUUUUUAACUCAAAGUGUUAUCAUAAUUUUUGGUAUUUACAAGAGAGUGAAAUCCUACUUAUAUAGAAAAAUGGUAGCAUACAGAGCAAGUUAAUUAUUCUGAUAGAAAGUAACAGAACCUAAUUAUUGCUAACAGCCCCUAACCAUUAGUGUCCAGCUUGCAUUCCAGCUGGCAUAGCUCACACAUGACUAACCGGAUAUUUUCAUAUCUAAACUAUACUAUAUACACAUUCCAGCUGGCCCAGCUCACACAUGAAUAACCCGAUAUUUUCAUAACUAUACAAUACUGUAUACACUUAUAGAGGGAAUAGUACAUUGAUAAGUAGUUGCAGGAGAAGACAAAUAACUCCAAGGUGAGUAAUAGUCGGAUAAGAAAAAGGGAUUUUUGAAGAUGGUGAAGUGGUGAAAGAAAGAAAUUUGGAGUACAUUUAACAUCUCUAGAUAUUUAGAAAGCGGUAUAAGAGAUGGAAUAGAUGGAGAUGGAGAAGAAGAAAGAGAAGUUGGUGAAGGUGAAUGAAGUGAAGGAAAUGAAACUGGGGAACAAGUUGGAGAAGGUGAGGAUUCUAGGGAACCAUUAUGAAUUGAAGGAGCAGUAAAAAGAUGAGCAGUGGGAGGAUUAGAGGAAUAUCUUCAAAGUGAAUAAUAAUUGGUAAAGAAGUUAUUUUGUAAGGAUAUGAAGUGGAGAAAGUAGUAAAUUUGGAUUACUGAAAUUUAUUAUCUUUAGGGAAUUUGAAAGAGGAUUAAGAUGAAUUAGUUAGGGAAGAAGAAGAAGAAAGAUAAAUUGUCCUAGGUGAAUGAGGAGAUGAAAGUGAAACAAAGGAAGAAGUAGGAGAUGGUGAGGAUUCAAGUGAAACAUUAAGAAUUGAAGGAACAAUAUAAGGAUGAACUGUAGGAGGAGAAGAGGAAUAACUUAAAGGUGAAUAUUAGUUGGAUAGAAGAAAUUAGUUUUGAAGGAGGUGAAGUGGAGAUUGAAGAAAUUUUGGACAAUUGAAAUUGAGCAUCUUUAAAAUAUACAUGUAGAGGAAGAACAUGAAAGAGAACUUGGUGAGGUGAGAAGGAAUUGAAACAAGGGAAAGAGUAGGAGCUGGUAAGGAUUCAAAAGACUAAUUAUGUAUUGAAGGAGCAGUACAUGGAUAUGUAGUAGCAGGAAAAGAGAAAUAACUCCAAGGUGAGUAAUAGUUGGAUAAGAAAAAUGGAUGUUUGAAUGAGAUGACGUGGUGGAAGAAGAGAAACAUGGGAAAAAGUUAGAGAUGGUGAGGAUUGAAGUGAACCAUUUUGAACUGAGGGAGCAGUAAAAAGAUGAGCAAUAGAAGGAUUAGAGGAAUAUGUUGAAGGUGAAUAAUAAUUGGAUAAGAAGUUGUUUUUUUAAGGACGUGAAGUGGAGAAAGUAGUUAAUUUGGAUUACUGAGAUAAAAUAUCUCUAGAGAAUUUGAAAGUGGAAUAAGAUGGAUUAGUUAGGGAGGAAGAAGUAGAAAAAGGAAUUGGUGAAGGUGAAUGAGGAGAUGAAAUUGAAACAUGGGAAGAAGUUGGAGAUGGUGAGGAUUUAAUUGAAACAUUUAUUGAAGGAGCAGUAUAAGGAUGAGCUGUAAGAGGAGAAGAGGAAUAACUUCAAGGUGAAUAUUAGUUGGAUAGAAGAUAUUAUUUUUGCAGGAGGUGAAGUGGGGAAAGAAGAAAUUCUGGAAUAAUGUAAUUGGGCAUCUAUAGAAUUUUGUAAAGUCGAAUAAGAUGGGUUACAUGGAGAGGAAGAAGAUGAAAUAGUAGUUGGUCAGAUGAAUGAGUAGAAGACAUUGAAAAAUGGGAAAGAGUAGGAGAUGGAAUAUUAUAGGUAAUGUUACAUUAUGGUUAAGGUUUUGGUCAAUGUUUGUCUUAUGCUUAGUUUUCAAGUUCUACUGUUAGGUCUUAAAAGGUGCUGGUUUCCUUGUUUAUUCUAAAGUAGAAAAUACAGAUUUAUUUCCUCAGAUAUCUAUGUGGUUACUUCUGUGAGGAAAAUUGUACCAAUGCAAUGUAAUUUAGUAGUAUUAAAAGAUGAGGCUUUCUGCUGCAGGUCUUACAAAACAGAAACAUUACACAAACUAACAAUAACCCAUGUAUGACUAUAUUACUAACAUGCCCCCUAGACUGAGUGACUGUAGUUGAGACUUGAAACAACUCCAUGUUUGUCUCUUAGCUCUAGGAUAGAGAUGAGCCGUAGGUGGAGAAGAGGAAUCACUCAUAGGUGAGUAAUAGUUGUUUAAGAAGAAGAAAUUUUUAAAGGAGGUGAAGUAGUGCAAGAUGUAAAUUAGGACUCAUGUAAGUGAAUAUCCAUAGAGUGGAAGAAGGAGGCAAGGAUAUAAAUAAACCUUAUAUAUUGAAUGAGCAGUACAUGGAUUUGUACUAGCAGGCGAAGAGAUAUAACUCCAAGAUGAGUAAUAGUUGGAUAAAAAAAAGGAUGUUUGAAGGAGGUGAAGUGGUGAAAGGAUGAAAUUUGGAAUCAUGACAUUUAACAUCUCUACAGAUUUAGAAAGUGGUACAAUAGAUGGUGAUGGAGAAGAAGAUAGAGAAGUUGGUAAAGUGAAUGAAGAGAAGGAAGUGAACCAUGGGAAAAAGUUGGAGAUGGUGAGGAUUCAAGUGAAAUAUUAAGAAUUGAAGGAGCAGUACAAGGAUGAGCUUUAGGAGGAGAAAAGUAAUAACUUCAAGGUGAAAUUCGUUGGAUAGAAGAUAUUAAUUUUGGAGGAAGUGAAGUGGAGAUAGGAGAAAUUUUGCACUAAUGAAAUUGAGCAUCUUUAAAAUUUGGGAAUGUGGAAUAAGAUUAUUGCAUGUAGAGGAAGAAGAUGAAAGAGAAGUUCGUGAGGUGAACGAGGAGAAUGAAGUGAAAUAUGGAAAAGGGUAGGAGAUGGUAAGGAUUCAAUUGAACAAUAAUGUAUUGAAGGAGAAGUGGAGAUAGGAGAAACUUUGGACUAAUGAAAUUGAGCAUCUUUAAAAUUUGGGAAUGUGGAAUAAGAUUAUUGCAUGUAGAGGAAGAAGAUGAAAGAGAAGUUCGUGAGGUGAAUGAGGAGAAUGAAGUGAAAUAUGGAAAAGGGUAGGAGAUGGAAAGGAUUCAAUUGAACAAUAAUGUAUUGAAGGAGAAGUACAUGGAUAAGUACUAGCAGGAGAUGAGAAAUAACUUCAAGGUGAGUAAUAGUUAGAUAAGAAAAAUGGAUGUUUGAAGGAGGUGAAGUGGUGAAUGAAGGAAAUUUGGACUCUUGGAAUAUAACUUCUCUACGGUUUUAGAAAGUGGUAUAAGAGAUGGAUUAGAUGGGGAUGGAGAAAGAGAAAGAGAAGCUGGUGAAGGUGAAUGAAGAGAAAGAAGUGAAACUUGGGAAAAAGUUAGGGAUGGUGUGCAUUCAAGUGAACCAUUAUAAAUUGAGGGAGCACUAAAAAGAUGAGCAGUGGGAGGGUGAGAGGAAUAUCUUGAAGGUUAAUAAUAAUUGGUAAGAAGUUAUUUUUUAAGGACGUGAAGUGGAGAAAGUAGUUAAUUUGGAUUGCUGAAAAAGAAUACCUGUAGAGAAUUUGAAAGUGGAAUAAGAUGGAUUAGUUAGGGAGGAAGAAGAAGGGAAGUUGGUGAAGGUGAAUGAGGAGAUGAAAGUGAAACAUAGAGAGGAAGAAGUAGGAUAUGAGAGGAUUUAAGUAAGGUUGAGUUGUAAGACGAGGAGGAAUAUCUUCAAGGUAAAUAUUAGUUGGAGAGAAGAUAUUAUUUUUGGAGGAGGUUAUGGAGAGAAAGAAGAAAUUUUAGACUAAUGAAAUUGAGCAUCUUUAGAAUUUUUAAAAGUGGAAUAUGAUGGAUUACCUAGAGAGGAAGAAGAAGAAUGAGAAGUUGGUGAGGUGAAUGAGGAGAAGGAAUUGAAACAUGGGUUAGGAGUUGGACAUGGUGUGUAUUCAAAUGAACCAUUAUGUACUGAAGGUGCAGUACAUGGAUAAGUAGUAGCAGGAUAAGAGAAAUCACCUAAGGUGAGUGAUAGUUUGAUAAGAAAGCGGGAUGUUUGAAUGAGGUGAAGUGGUCAAAGAAGGAAAUUUUGACUCAUCAAAUUUAUCAUCUGUUGAUAUUUUGAAAGUGGUAUAAGAGAUGAAAUAGAUGGGGCGAUGGAGAAGAAGAAAGAGAAGUUGGUGAAGGUGAAUUAAGAGAAGGAAGUGAAGCUUGGGAAAAAGUUGGAGAUGGUUAGGAUUCAAGGGAACCAUUAGGAAUUGAUGGAGCAUUAAAAAGAUGAGCAGUGGGAGGAGUAGGGUAAUAUCUUCAAGGUGAAAAUUAAUUGUUAAUAUUUUAUUUUUUAUGUACUGGAUGUUGAGAAAGUAGUUAAUUUGGAUUCCUGAAAUUGAUUAACUCUGGAGAUUUUGAAAGGGGAAUAAGAUGUAUUAGUUAGGGAGGAAGAAGCAGAAAGAAAAGUUGGUGAAGGUGAAUGAGGAGUUUAAAGAUAAACAUGGGAAAAAGUAGGAGAUGGUGAGGAUUCAAAUGAAACAUUAACAUUGAAGGAGCAGUACAAGGAUGAGCUGUUGGAGGAGAAGAGGAAUAACUUUAAGGUGAAUAUUAGUUGGAUAGAAUAUAUUAUUUUUGAGAAGGUGAAGUUAAGAAAGAAGUAAUUUUGUUCUAAUGAAAUUGAGCAUCUUUAGAAUUUUUGAAAGUGGAAUAAGAUGGAAAACAUGGUGAGGAAGAAAAAGAAAGAGAAGUUGGUGAGGUGAAUAAGGAGAAGGAAUUGAAACAUGGGAAGUUGUAGGAGAUGGUGAGGAUUCAAAUGAACCAUUAUGUACUAAAGGAGCAGUACAUGGAUAAGUACUAGCAGGAGAAGAGAAAUUACUCCAAGGUGAGUAAUAGUUGGAUAAGUAAAAGGGAUGUUUGAAUGAGGUGCAGUGGUGAAAGAAUGAAAUUUGGAUUCUUGAAGGUAUAUAUGCUGCCUCUUCACUUUUCAACAUACUUUAUUUCUUUCGUUCAUUAUUUCUUGGAAUUAUUAACCUUACACUGAUGUAGCAGGAUACAUAGGUAGAUAUUGGAUCAGAAGUGAGAGGUUUUAAAGUUUGCGGUAUUAUUUCAAGUACUUGUCCCUUUCUUACACUUGUUAAACUUUAGGAGUUUUUGUCCUUUGUAUUCUUUCAUAUGCAAUUUGCAACACUGCCAUGUGCUUUCAUACUCUGGCAAUCUUGCCCAUCUAAUUUAUGCUGGUUUUUUAACUAUAAUUUUUAAAAAGAAAUUAUCAUCUUAAUAGGAGAAAGAGUCCUAUGAAGAUGAUAAUCUAUAUAUUGAAAAGAUAAUAUUUACACUCAGUACUGGUAAUUAAUUAAUCAGUAACCUUUU